rnacentral:rRNA from 1 species
CUACGUGCCAGCAGCCGCGGUAAUACGGAAGGUCCGGGCGUUAUCCGGAAUUAUUGGGUUUAAAGGGAGCGCAGGCGGGAGUGUAAGUCAGCUGUUAAAUAUCAGGGCCCAACUCUGUUAUGCAGUUGAAACUAUAUUUCUUGAGUACGCACAGGGAUGGCGGAAUUCAGGGUGUAGCGGUGAAAUGCUUAGAUAUCCUGAAGAACUCCGAUCGCGAAGGCAGCCAUCCGGAGCGUAACUGACGCUGAGGCUCGAAGGUGCGGGUAUCAAACAGGAUUAGAUACCCUGGUAGUCCGCACGGUAAACGAUGAAUACUCGCAGUUCGGUUAUUAUGGUCGAGCUGUCCAGCGAAAGCGUUAAGUAUUCCACCUGGGGAGUACGCCGGCAACGGUGAAACUCAAAGGAAUUGACGGGGGCCCGCACAAGCGGAGGAACAUGUGGUUUAAUUCGAUGAUACGCGAGGAACCUUACCCGGGCUUGAAC